rnacentral:rRNA from 1 species
UGGGGAAUCUUCCGCAAUGGACGAAAGUCUGACGGAGCAACGCCGCGUGAGUGAAGAAGGUUUUCGGAUCGUAAAACUCUGUCUUUUGGGGCGAACGUGAGUAUGGUGAACAAUCAUAGUCAGUGACGGUACCAAAGGAGGAAGCCACGGCUAACUACGUGCCAGCAGCCGCGGUAAUACGUAGGUGGCAAGCGUUGUCCGGAAUUAUUGGGCGUAAAGAGCGCGUAGGCGGGAUAGUCAGUCUGUUGUAAAGUGCGGGGCUCAACCCCGUGAUGGCAAUGGAAACAGCUAUUCUUGAGUGCAGGAGAGGAAAGUGGAAUUCCCAGUGUAGCGGUGAAAUGCGUAGAUAUUGGGAGGAACACCAGUGGCGAAGGCGACUUUCUGGACUGUGUCUGACGCUGAGGCGCGAAAGCCAGGGGAGCGAACGGGAUUAGAUACCCCGGUAGUCCUGGCCGUAAACGAUGGGUACUAGGUGUGGGAGGUAUCGACCCCCUUCCGUGCCGGAGUUAACGCAAUAAGUACCCCGCCUGGGGAGUACGGUCGCAAGACUGAAACUCAAAGGAAUUAACGGGGUCAUAGCUGUUUCC